GGGAUGACGGCCUUCGGGUUGUAAACCUCUUUUAGCAGGGAAGAAGCGAAAGUGACGGUACCUGCAGAAAAAGCGCCGGCUAACUACGUGCCAGCAGCCGCGGUAAUACGUAGGGCGCAAGCGUUAUCCGGAAUUAUUGGGCGUAAAGAGCUCGUAGGCGGUUUGUCGCGUCUGCUGUGAAAACCCGAGGCUCAACCUCGGGCCUGCAGUGGGUACGGGCAGACUAGAGUGCGGUAGGGGAGAUUGGAAUUCCUGGUGUAGCGGUGGAAUGCGCAGAUAUCAGGAGGAACACCGAUGGCGAAGGCAGAUCUCUGGGCCGUUACUGACGCUGAGGAGCGAAAGGGUGGGGAGCAAACAGGCUUAGAUACCCUGGUAGUCCACCCCGUAAACGUUGGGAACUAGUUGUGGGGGCCUUUCCACGGUCUCCGUGACGCAGCUAACGCAUUAAGUUCCCCGCCUGGGGAGUACGGCCGCAAGGCUAAAACUCAAAGGAAUUGACGGGGACCCGCACAAGCGGCGGAGCAUGCGGAUUAAUUCGAUGCAACGCGAAGAACCUUACCAAGGCUUGACAUACACCGGAAACGUCUGGAAACAGUCGCCCCUUUUUGGUCGGUGUACAGGUGGUGCAUGGUUGUCGUCAGCUCGUGUCGUGAGAUGUUGGGUUAAGUCCCGCAACGAGCGCAACCCUCGUUCUAUGUUGCCAGCACGUUAUGGUGGGAACUCAUGGGAUACUGCCGGGGUCAACUCGGAGGAAGGUGGGGAUGACGUCAAAUCAUCAUGCCCCUUAUGUCUUGGGCUUCACGCAUGCUACAAUGGCCGGUACAAAGGGCUGCAAUACCGUGAGGUGGAGCGAAUCCCAAAAAGCCGGUCCCAGUUCGGAUUGAGGUCUGCAACUCGACCUCAUGAAGUCGGAGUCGCUAGUAAUCGCAGAUCAGCAACGCUGCGGUGAAUACGUUCCCGGGUCUUGUACACACCGCCCGUCAAGUCAUGAAAGUCGGUAACACCUGAAGCCGGUGGCCUAACCCCUUGUGGGAGGGAGCUGUCGAAGGUGGGAUCGGUAAUUAGGACUAAGUCGUAACAAGG
rnacentral:rRNA from 1 species